UACAGGGGGGGCAAGCGUUGUUCGGAAUUACUGGGCGUAAAGGGCCAGUAGGCGGCCGACUAAGUCCGACGUGAAAUCCCCAGGCUUAACCUGGGAACUGCGUCGGAUACUGGUUGGCUUGAAUUCGGGAGAGGGAUGCAGAAUUCCAGGUGUAGCGGUGAAAUGCGCAGAUAUCAGGAGGAACACCAAUUGCGAAGGCAGCUCGCUGGGACGUUACUGACGCUGAGACGCGAAAGCGUGGGGAGCAAACAGG
rnacentral:rRNA from 1 species